UACGUAGGGUGCAAGCGUUGUCCGGAAUUAUUGGGCGUAAAGAGCUCGUAGGCGGUCUGUCGCGUCUGCUGUGAAAACUCAGGGCUUAACCCUGAGCUUGCAGUGGGUACGGGCAGACUAGAGUGCGGUAGGGGAGACUGGAAUUCCUGGUGUAGCGGUGAAAUGCGCAGAUAUCAGGAGGAACACCGAUGGCGAAGGCAGGUCUCUGGGCCACUACUGACGCUGAGAAGCGGAAAGCAUGGGGAGCGAACAGG
rnacentral:rRNA from 1 species